rnacentral:RNase_P_RNA from 1 species
GGCGCGAGUCGGAUGGUUACCUCUGGUAAUGCCAGGGGAGGAAAGUCCGGGCUCCACAGGGCAGCGUAGCGGGUAACGCCCGUCUCCCUCGCCGCUCAUUGUUAAUUUAGGGCGGCUCGGGACGGACCAGAGCCACAGAGACGAGUCUGGGAGGCGCAGUAGCAACGUAACAGGCUUAAGCAUGCGUUGCUGUCUCUCAGGGUGAAACGCGGCAAUCUCUACGCGGAGCAAAACCAAAUAGGUCCUGCUGAUAGAAUGGCCCGUUCAAAAGGGCAGGACGGGUAGGUUGCAUGAUCAUGGCAGCAAUGCCAUGGCUAGAUAGAUGACCAUCGUCCGCCAAAGGCGGACACAGAACCCGGCUUAUAGACUCGCGUCUUUA